rnacentral:rRNA from 1 species
UGGGGAAUAUUGGACAAUGGGCGCAAGCCUGAUCCAGCCAUGCCGCGUGAGUGAUGAAGGCCCUAGGGUUGUAAAGCUCUUUCACCGGUGAAGAUAAUGACGGUAACCGGAGAAGAAGCCCCGGCUAACUUCGUGCCAGCAGCCGCGGUAAUACGAAGGGGGCUAGCGUUGUUCGGAUUUACUGGGCGUAAAGCGCACGUAGGCGGACUUUUAAGUCAGGGGUGAAAUCCCGGGGCUCAACCCCGGAACUGCCUUUGAUACUGGAAGUCUUGAGUAUGGUAGAGGUGAGUGGAAUUCCGGGUGUAGAAGUGAAAUUCGUAGAUAUUCGGAGGAAAACCAGUGGCGAAGGCGGCUCACUGGACCAUUACUGACGCUGAGGUGCGAAAGCGUGGGGAGCAAACAGG